CAUUCGGUUGUUCACCUUCUCCAUCCCUUCGAAUCAUGCGAAACCGGCUGUUUAUUACGGAGUAAAAUGGCGAGGCGACGAAGAUCUACCGUUUCCAUUCUGUAAGCAUUGAUGGUAGCGGAGGUGGAGCUACGUUACUACCCGGUUGCCUCCUUUCUUUUUGCUAGGCCAGUCCAUAUAUCUUGCACCUCCCAUUUGUCUUUCUCACAUCCAUUCGACCACAAGGAACUAAUUUGUUCAGGCAUACUCUAUGGAGCUGGUUCUAGGCGAUCGUGACGACGUGUGUCAGAGGUCAAGGAGAGGUAUGCUAAGGUGUGUCUGACUUGCCUCCCUUGCACCGCCCCUCACUGGUCAUCUAUCCUCCGCUACAGCUUCCGUUCAUCAGUGGAUGAAGGGUGUCAUCUCCCUCGAUUCUGCCAUGGACCCCGAGUACUGGGAAAUCAUCAGCACCUUCCUACACCAAGGCCCCCACCUACGUCUCCAAGAGCUGUAUUAUUGAUCUUUUUCCCCGUCCCAACUCCCAAAUAGGGGGAGCAGAAAGAAUCAUACUACAGGAGAUGCAAGAAGUUCUUUCUACGGAGGAGUUGUCUGUUGCUAUUAGAUCCACGAAGAUGAAGGGAUUUGAGAGCUUUACAAGGAUUCUGGAGGAACAUAAAGCUUAAGCAUUGCCUGGAUAAAUUUGAGCAUAUCCUUAAUUUUCUGCUCU